rnacentral:rRNA from 1 species
AGAACGAACGCUGGCGGCGUGCCUAACACAUGCAAGUCGAACGGAAUUUGAGAGCUUGCUCUUAAAUUUAGUGGCGCACGGGUGAGUAACGCGUAGAUAAUCUGCCUGAUGAUCUGGGAUAACACUUCGAAAGAGGUGCUAAUACCGGAUAAGCCCACGGAGUCUUUGGACUCUGCGGGAAAAGGGGGGGACCUUCGGGCCUUCUGUCAUCAGAUGAGUCUGCGUACCAUUAGCUAGUUGGUAGGUAUGGCCUACCAAGGCUACGAUGGUUAGCUGGUCUGAGAGGAUGAUCAGCCACACUGGAACUGACGACACGGUCCAGACCUCCGUACGGGAGCAGCGAGGUAGGGGUAAUUUGGCGCGAAGUGGACGAAGCCUGACGCAGCACGCCGCGUGAGUGAGU